AACGUAGGAGGCAAGCGUUAUCCGGAGUUACUGGGCGUAAAGAGUGCGUAGGCGGAUUGAUAAGUGGGUGGUGAAAGCGCCCGGCUAAACCGGGCGAGGUCCAUUCAGACUGUCAGUCUAGAGGCGGAUAGAGGGGUGCGGAAUUCCGGGUGUCAGCGGUGAAAUGUGUAGAGAUCCGGAGGAACACCAGUGGUGCGCAAACGGCGCCCUGGGUCCGAACUGACGCUGAAGCACGAAAGCGUGGGGAGCGAACGGG
rnacentral:rRNA from 1 species